rnacentral:rRNA from 1 species
UACGGGGGGGGGUAAGCGUUGUUCGGAAUUACUGGGCGUAAAGGGCUCGUAGGCGGCCAACUAAGUCAGACGUGAAAUCCCUCAGCUUAACUGGGGAACUGCGUCUGAUACUGGAUGGCUUGGAUUCGGGAGAGGAAUGCGGAAUUCCCGGUGUAGCGGUGAAAUGCGCAGAUAUCGGGAGGAACACCAAUGGCGAAGGCAGCUCGCUGGGACGUGACUGACGCUGAGACGCGAAAGCGUGGGGAGCAAACAGGG